UGCGGUUUAAUUUGACUCAACACGGGAAAACUUACCAGGUCCGAACUUAUGUAUUAUAGGCAAGUCAGAUUGAGAGCUCUUUCUCAAACUUAACAAAGAGGAGAGGUGCAUAACCGUUCUUAGUUCGUGGAUCGAUUUGUCUGGUUAAUUCCGAUAACGAAUGUGACUCAGUCUAGCUAAGGGCAUAAAUAUAAUUCAAUUAUUUAAGUGUAAAUUGAAUAUAUUUGAUAUUGCAUAGUUUUUAAUAGAUUUAGCAAAACAAUAGCGAUGAAUCAAUAUAAUGUUUUAACAAAUUAAAAGUAUAUAAACACACUCG
rnacentral:ncRNA from 1 species